rnacentral:rRNA from 1 species
UUGACCUCGGAUCAGGUAGGGAUACCCGCUGAACUUAAGCAUAUCAAUAAGCGGAGGAAAAGAAACCAACAGGGAUUGCCUCAGUAACGGCGAGUGAAGCGGCAACAGCUCAAAUUUGAAAUCUGCCUCUAGGCCGAGUUGUAAUUUGUAGAAGAUGCUUCGGGUGUGGCACCGGUCUAAGUUCCUUGGAACAGGACGUCAUAGAGGGUGAGAAUCCCGUACGUGACUGGCUGCCUUCGCCCAUGUGAAGCUCUUUCGACGAGUCGAGUUGUUUGGGAAUGCAGCUCAAAAUGGGUGGUAUAUUUCAUCUAAAGCUAAAUAUUGGCCAGAGACCGAUAGCGCACAAGUAGAGUGAUCGAAAGAUGAAAAGCACUUUGGAAAGAGAGUUAAACAGUACGUGAAAUUGUUGAAAGGGAAGCGCUUGCAACUAGACUUGCGCGCCGUCGAUCAUCCGAGGUUUUCCCCGGUGCACUCGGCGGUGCUCAGGCCAGCAUCGGUUUCGGUGGUUGGAUAAAGGCCUUGGGAAUGUGGCUCCUCUAGGAGUGUUAUAGCCCUCGGUGCAAUGCAGCCUACCGGGACCGAGGACCGCGCUUCGGCUAGGAUGCUGGCGUAAUGGUUGUAAGCGACCCGUCUUGAAACACGGACCAAGGGC